CUUCUAAACAACAAGAAGCUAAGGGUUGGCUGCCGCCUGCCAGCCAUGGAGUGAAAGCCUAAGGACAUCUUGCCAGGGAGAUGCUCCAUCAGCGUUAAUUAAUUAAUAUUAUCAUCCAUCAUUCCUCCCACCGGUACAGACACCUUCUGCCCGGUUAGCUGCCACGGGCUUGAUUUAACAGCGAUGGAGAGAUGUGGGGAGCAACCUCUGAUGGCCCCAAGAUGAGCUCUCUCAACCCCACCACACUGCCGCCUUCUGCUCCUCUUUGAAGACACCAAGAAA
rnacentral:lncRNA from 1 species